CAGUAGCCGCGGGAAUACAGAGGGUGCGAGCGUUAAUCGGAUUUACUGGGCGUAAAGCGUGCGUAGGCGGCUUCUUAAGUCGGAUGUGAAAUCCCUGAGCUUAACUUAGGAAUUGCAUUCGAUACUGGGAAGCUAGAGUAUGGGAGAGGAUGGUAGAAUUCCAGGUGUAGCGGUGAAAUGCGUAGAGAUCUGGAGGAAUACCGAUGGCGAAGGCAGCCAUCUGGUCUAAUACUGACGCUGAGGUACGAAAGCAUGGGGAGCAAACAGGAUUAGAUACCCCUGUAGUCCCUGUCUCUUAUAC
rnacentral:rRNA from 1 species